UUUUAAGUGGCCGAGCACUGAGGCCGUAGAUUUUUAAUCUACUUACGGGCGGAGCCCCUUUUGCG
rnacentral:tRNA from 1 species